GUGGAGGUGAUGACAAACUAAAUCUUGACUAUCUAUGAUGUUCGAGUAUUCAUACUGUCUGAUUCAU